GAGUUUGAUCCUGGCUCAGGACGAACGCUGGCGGCGCGCCUAACACAUGCAAGUCGAACGAGAGAGAGGGAGCUUGCUUCCUCAAUCGAGUGGCGAACGGGUGAGUAACGCGUGAGGAACCUGCCUCAAAGAGGGGGACAACAGUUGGAAACGACUGCUAAUACCGCAUAAGCCCACAGCUCGGCAUCGAGCAGAGGGAAAAGGAGCAAUCCGCUUUGAGAUGGCCUCGCGUCCGAUUAGCUGGUUGGUGAGGUAACGGCCCACCAAGGCGACGAUCGGUAGCCGGACUGAGAGGUUGAACGGCCACAUUGGGACUGAGACACGGCCCAGACUCCUACGGGAGGCAGCAGUGGGGAAUAUUGCACAAUGGGGGAAACCCUGAUGCAGCGACGCCGCGUGGAGGAAGAAGGUCUUCGGAUUGUAAACUCCUGUUGUUGAGGAAGAUAAUGACGGUACUCAACAAGGAAGUGACGGCUAACUACGUGCCAGCAGCCGCGGUAAAACGUAGGUCACAAGCGUUGUCCGGAAUUACUGGGUGUAAAGGGAGCGCAGGCGGGAAGACAAGUUGGAAGUGAAAUCUAUGGGCUCAACCCAUAAACUGCUUUCAAAACUGUUUUUCUUGAGUAGUGCAGAGGUAGGCGGAAUUCCCGGUGUAGCGGUGGAAUGCGUAGAUAUCGGGAGGAACACCAGUGGCGAAGGCGGCCUACUGGGCACCAACUGACGCUGAGGCUCGAAAGUGUGGGUAGCAACAGGAUUAGAUACCCUGGUAGUCCACACCGUAAACGAUGAUUACUAGGUGUUGGAGGAUUGACCCCUUCAGUGCCGCAGUUAACACAAUAAGUAAUCCACCUGGGGAGUACGACCGCAAGGUUGAAACUCAAAGGAAUUGACGGGGGCCCGCACAAGCAGUGGAGUAUGUGGUUUAAUUCGACGCAACGCGAAGAACCUUACCAAGUCUUGACAUCCUGCGACGGACAUAGAAAUAUGUCUUUCCUUCGGGACGCAGAGACAGGUGGUGCAUGGUUGUCGUCAGCUCGUGUCGUGAGAUGUUGGGUUAAGUCCCGCAACGAGCGCAACCCUUACUGUCAGUUACUACGCAAGAGGACUCUGGCAGGACUGCCGUUGACAAAACGGAGGAAGGUGGGGAUGACGUCAAAUCAUCAUGCCCUUUAUGACUUGGGCUACACACGUACUACAAUGGCGUUAAACAAAGAGAAGCAAGACCGCGAGGUGGAGCAAAACUCAGAAACAACGUCCCAGUUCGGAAAGCAGGCUGCAGCUCGCCUGCACGAAGUCGGAAUUGCUAGUAAUCGUGGAUCAGCAUGCCACGGUGAAUACAUUCCCGGGGCUUGACACACCGCCCGUCA
rnacentral:rRNA from 1 species